CUANANGACCUNUUUCCCGGGUGCGUAACGCGUAUGCAACUUGCCCUACUGAAUUNGNUAGCCCUUCGAAAGGAGGAUUAAUACUUUAUAACAGAUUUAAUGGCAUCAUUAGAUUUUGAAAGAUUUAUCGCAGUAGGAUAGGCAUUCGUAAGAUUAGUUAGCUGGUGAGGUAACGGCUCACCAAGACGAUGAUCUUUAGGGGGCCUGAGAGGGUGAACCCCCACACUGGUACUGAGACACGGACCAGACUCCUACGGGAGGCAGCAGUGGGGAAUAUUGGACAAUGGGCGCAAGCCUGAUCCAGCCAUACCGCGUGGGUGAAGAAGGCCUUCGGGUUGUAAAGCCCUUUUGUUGGGAAAGAAAUCCAGCUGGCUAAUACCCGGUUGGGAUGACGGUACCCAAAGAAUAAGCACCGGCUAACUUCGUGCCAGCAGCCCGCGGUAAUACGAAAGGUGCAAGCGUUACUCGGGAAUUACUGGGCCGUAAAGCGUGCGUUAGGUGGUCGUUUAAGUCCGUUUGUGAANGCCCUGGGCUCANCCUGGGAACUGCAGUGGAUACUGGGCCGACUAGAGUGGGGUNANAGGGUAGCGGAAUUCCUGGUGUANCNAGUGAAUUGCGUANAAUCCNGANGAACAUUCCNUGGCNAAGGCGGCCNUUUGGACCAACNNUGACCCUNANGCCCNAAACCUNGGGNAGCAAANGGAUUANANNCCCNGGUNNNNCNCCCCCUNAACGAUGCNAACUGGNUGUUGGGCNCANCCCGGNCNNCAANUCCAANCUAACGCGUUUAAAAGUUCGCCGCCUGGGGAGUACGGUCGCAAGACUGAAACUCAAAGGAGUUGACGGGGGCCCGCACAAGCAGUGGAUUAUGUGGAUUAAUUCGAUGCAACGCGAAAAACCUUACCUGGCCUUGACAUGCCACUAACGAAGCAGAGAUGCAUUAGGUGCCCGAAAGGGAAAGUGGACACAGGUGCUGCAUGGCUGUCGUCAGCUCGUGUCGAGAGAUGUUGGGUUAAGUCCCGCACCGAGCGCAACCCUUGCCAAUAAUUGCCAUCAUUUAGUUGGGCACUUUAUGGGACUGCCGGUGACAACCNGANGAAGGUGGGGAUGACGUCANGUCCUCAUGGCCNUAUGGC
rnacentral:rRNA from 1 species